AUUGAACGCUGGCGGCAGGCUUAACACAUGCAAGUCGAACGAGUGGCGGACGGGUGAGUAAUGCUUGGGAAUCUAGCUUAUGGAGGGGGAUAACUACGGGAAACUGUAGCUAAUACCGCGUACCAUAGGAUGAGCCCAAGUGGGAUUAGGUAGUUGGUGAGGUAAAGGCUCACCAAGCCGACGAUCUCUAGCUGGUCUGAAAGGAUGACCAGCAACACUGGGACGGAGACACGGACGAGAAGACUAAGUGAGGAAGCAGGGGGUAAUAUGGCGAAAGGGGGGCAACCUGAGACAGCCAUGCUGGGUGAAUGAAGAAGGCCUUGGGGUUGUAAAGUUCUUUCGGUAGCGAGGCGUUAACUACAGAAGAAGCACCGGCUAACUCCGUGCCAGCAACCGCGGUAAUAC
rnacentral:rRNA from 1 species